rnacentral:rRNA from 1 species
AAAACGACUCUCGGCAACGGAUAUCUCGGCUCUCGCAUCGAUGAAGAACGUAGCAAACUGCGAUACUUGGUGUGAAUUGCAGAAUCCCGUGAACCAUCAAGUCUUUGAACGCAAGUUGCGCCCAAAGCCAUUAGGCCGAGGGCACGCCUGCCUGGGCGUCACGC